CGGCCUAUCGGGUUGUAAACCUCUUUUAGCAAGGAAGAAGCGAAAGUGACGGUACUUGCAGAAAAAGCGCCGGCUAACUACGUGCCAGCAGCCGCGGUAAUACGUAGGGCGCAAGCGUUAUCCGGAAUUAUUGGGCGUAAAGAGCUCGUAGGCGGUUUGUCGCGUCUGCUGUGAAAACUGGAGGCUCAACCUCCAGCCUGCAGUGGGUACGGGCAGACUAGAGUGCGGUAGGGGAGAUUGGAAUUCCUGGUGUAGCGGUGGAAUGCGCAGAUAUCAGGAGGAACACCGAUGGCGAAGGCAGAUCUCUGGGCCGUAACUGACGCUGAGGAGCGAAAGGGUGGGGAGCAAACAGGCUUAGAUACCCUGGUAGUCCACCCCGUAAACGUUGGGAACUAGUUGUGGGGACCAUUCCACGGUUUCCGUGACGCAGCUAACGCAUUAAGUUCCCCGCCUGGGGAGUACGGCCGCAAGGCUAAAACUCAAAGGAAUUGACGGGGACCCGCACAAGCGGCGGAGCAUGCGGAUUAAUUCGAUGCAACGCGAAGAACCUUACCAAGGCUUGACAUAUACUAGAACGCUGCAGAAAUGUACAACUCU
rnacentral:rRNA from 1 species